rnacentral:rRNA from 1 species
UGCCUACGGGGGGCAGCAGUGAGGAAUAUUGGUCAAUGGGCGAGAGCCUGAACCAGCCAAGUCGCGUGAAGGAUGACGGCCCUACGGGUUGUAAACUUCUUUUGUCAGGGAGCAAUUGGGUCCACGCGUGGGCUUAGCGAGAGUACCUGAAGAAAAAGCAUCGGCUAACUCCGUGCCAGCAGCCGCGGUAAUACGUAGGUGGCAAGCGUUAUCCGGAUUUAUUGGGCGUAAAGAGAACGCAGGCGGUCUUUUAAGUCUGAUGUGAAAGCCUUCGGCUUAACCGGAGUAGUGCAUUGGAAACUGGG